rnacentral:rRNA from 1 species
GGGUUGUGAGGUUAAGCGACUAAGCGUACACGGUGGAUGCCCUGGCAGUCAGAGGCGAUGAAGGACGUGCUAAUCUGCGAUAAGCGUCGGUAAGGUGAUAUGAACCGUUAUAACCGGCGAUUUCCGAAUGGGGAAACCCAGUGUGUUUCGACACACUAUCAUUAACUGAAUCCAUAGGUUAAUGAGGCGAACCGGGGGAACUGAAACAUCUAAGUACCCCGAGGAAAAGAAAUCAACCGAGAUUCCCCCAGUAGCGGCGAGCGAACGGGGAGCAGCCCAGAGCCUGAAUCAGUGUGUGUGUUAGUGGAAGCGUCUGGAAAGGCGUGCGAUACAGGGUGACAGCCCCGUACACAAAAAUGCACAUGCUGUGAGCUCGAUGAGUAGGGCGGGACACGUGGUAUCCUGUCUGAAUAUGGGGGGGACCAUCCUCCAAGGCUAAAUACUCCUGACUGACCGAUAGUGAACCAGUACCGUGAGGGAAAGGCGAAAAGAACCCCGGCGAGGGGAGUGAAAAAGAACCUGAAACCGUGUACGUACAAGCAGUGGGAGCACGCUUAGGCGUGUGACUGCGUACCUUUUGUAUAAUGGGUCAGCGACUUAUAUUCUGUAGCAAGGUUAACCGAAUAGGGGAGCCGAAGGGAAACCGAGUCUUAACUGGGCGUUAAGUUGCAGGGUAUAGACCCGAAACCCGGUGAUCUAGCCAUGGGCAGGUUGAAGGUUGGGUAACACUAACUGGAGGACCGAACCGACUAAUGUUGAAAAAUUAGCGGAUGACUUGUGGCUGGGGGUGAAAGGCCAAUCAAACCGGGAGAUAGCUGGUUCUCCCCGAAAGCUAUUUAGGUAGCGCCUCGUGAAUUCAUCUCCGGGGGUAGAGCACUGUUUCGGCAAGGGGGUCAUCCCGACUUACCAACCCGAUGCAAACUGCGAAUACCGGAGAAUGUUAUCACGGGAGACACACGGCGGGUGCUAACGUCCGUCGUGAAGAGGGAAACAACCCAGACCGCCAGCUAAGGUCCCAAAGUCAUGGUUAAGUGGGAAACGAUGUGGGAAGGCCCAGACAGCCAGGAUGUUGGCUUAGAAGCAGCCAUCAUUUAAAGAAAGCGUAAUAGCUCACUGGUCGAGUCGGCCUGCGCGGAAGAUGUAACGGGGCUAAACCAUGCACCGAAGCUGCGGCAGCGACACUAUGUGUUGUUGGGUAGGGGAGCGUUCUGUAAGCCUGUGAAGGUGUGCUGUGAGGUAUGCUGGAGGUAUCAGAAGUGCGAAUGCUGACAUAAGUAACGAUAAAGCGGGUGAAAAGCCCGCUCGCCGGAAGACCAAGGGUUCCUGUCCAACGUUAAUCGGGGCAGGGUGAGUCGACCCCUAAGGCGAGGCCGAAAGGCGUAGUCGAUGGGAAACAGGUUAAUAUUCCUGUACUUGGUGUUACUGCGAAGGGGGGACGGAGAAGGCUAUGUUGGCCGGGCGACGGUUGUCCCGGUUUAAGCGUGUAGGCUGGUUUUCCAGGCAAAUCCGGAAAAUCAAGGCUGAGGCGUGAUGACGAGGCACUACGGUGCUGAAGCAACAAAUGCCCUGCUUCCAGGAAAAGCCUCUAAGCAUCAGGUAACAUCAAAUCGUACCCCAAACCGACACAGGUGGUCAGGUAGAGAAUACCAAGGCGCUUGAGAGAACUCGGGUGAAGGAACUAGGCAAAAUGGUGCCGUAACUUCGGGAGAAGGCACGCUGAUAUGUAGGUGAAGUCCCUCGCGGAUGGAGCUGAAAUCAGUCGAAGAUACCAGCUGGCUGCAACUGUUUAUUAAAAACACAGCACUGUGCAAACACGAAAGUGGACGUAUACGGUGUGACGCCUGCCCGGUGCCGGAAGGUUAAUUGAUGGGGUUAGCGCAAGCGAAGCUCUUGAUCGAAGCCCCGGUAAACGGCGGCCGUAACUAUAACGGUCCUAAGGUAGCGAAAUUCCUUGUCGGGUAAGUUCCGACCUGCACGAAUGGCGUAAUGAUGGCCAGGCUGUCUCCACCCGAGACUCAGUGAAAUUGAACUCGCUGUGAAGAUGCAGUGUACCCGCGGCAAGACGGAAAGACCCCGUGAACCUUUACUAUAGCUUGACACUGAACAUUGAGCCUUGAUGUGUAGGAUAGGUGGGAGGCUUAGAAGUGUGGACGCCAGUCUGCAUGGAGCCGACCUUGAAAUACCACCCUUUAAUGUUUGAUGUUCUAACGUUGACCCGUAAUCCGGGUUGCGGACAGUGUCUGGUGGGUAGUUUGACUGGGGCGGUCUCCUCCUAAAGAGUAACGGAGGAGCACGAAGGUUGGCUAAUCCUGGUCGGACAUCAGGAGGUUAGUGCAAUGGCAUAAGCCAGCUUGACUGCGAGCGUGACGGCGCGAGCAGGUGCGAAAGCAGGUCAUAGUGAUCCGGUGGUUCUGAAUGGAAGGGCCAUCGCUCAACGGAUAAAAGGUACUCCGGGGAUAACAGGCUGAUACCGCCCAAGAGUUCAUAUCGACGGCGGUGUUUGGCACCUCGAUGUCGGCUCAUCACAUCCUGGGGCUGAAGUAGGUCCCAAGGGUAUGGCUGUUCGCCAUUUAAAGUGGUACGCGAGCUGGGUUUAGAACGUCGUGAGACAGUUCGGUCCCUAUCUGCCGUGGGCGCUGGAGAACUGAGGGGGGCUGCUCCUAGUACGAGAGGACCGGAGUGGACGCAUCACUGGUGUUCGGGUUGUCAUGCCAAUGGCACUGCCCGGUAGCUAAAUGCGGAAGAGAUAAGUGCUGAAAGCAUCUAAGCACGAAACUUGCCCCGAGAUGAGUUCUCCCUGACUCCUUGAGAGUCCUGAAGGAACGUUGAAGACGACGACGUUGAUAGGCCGGGUGUGUAAGCGCAGCGAUGCGUUGAGCUAACCGGUACUAAUGAACCGUGAGGCUUAACCUUACAACGCCGAAGGUGUUU